CACCAAGUGUCAAUUCAAAGGUGUGGAAAGGAAACAAGACUGACAGUUUGUGGGGGAAGGGGCCAACUGGGAGUGGCAGUUGGGUCUUGUGACUGGCACUUCCUUCCUGCGGGGAGCGGGGGAUGGGCUGCCUGGUGUUGGGGGAGAGAGGACCUUGUUCAGCCUGUCUGAAGUGGCAUGCUUUUCUUGAUUCAGCCGGAAGAUUCAGGCUCAGUCGCUUCUGAAGGAAGCAAGGAAGAAAAACCUACAAAUUCAAUCUGCUUAAGUAUUUUUCAGAUCUGAUCAUUCAAAAUCUGAAAGCACUAAAGAAAAAGAAAAAGGAAGGAUGAAACAAAGAAAUAAAGAA
rnacentral:lncRNA from 1 species